rnacentral:misc_RNA from 1 species
GAUGAGAACGUAGCGAAAUGCGAUAAGUAAUGUGAAUUGCAGAGUUCAGUGAAUCAUCGAAUCUUUGAACGCACAUUGCGCCCCCUGGUAUUCCGGGGGGCAUGCCUGUCCGAGCGUCAUUACAACCCUCAAGCUCAGCUUGGUGUUGGGCCCCGCCGCCCCGGCGGGCCCUAAAGUCAGUGGCGGAGCCGUCCGGCUCCGAGCGUAGUAAUUCUUCUCGCUCUGGAGGUCCGGUCGUGUGCUCGCCAGCAACCCCCAAUUUUUUUCAGGUUGACCUCGGAUCAGGUAGGGAUACCCGCUGAACUUAAGCAUAUCAAUAAGCGGAGGA